GACGAACGCUGGCGGCGUGCUUAACACAUGCAAGUCGAACGGAAAGGCCCUGCUUUUGUGGGGUGCUCGAGUGGCGAACGGGUGAGUAACACGUGAGUAACCUGCCCUUGACUUUGGGAUAACUUCAGGCAACCGGGGCUAAUACCGGAUAGGAGCUCCUGCAGCAUGGUGGGGGUUGGAAAGUUUCGGCGGUUGGGGAUGGACUCUCGGCUUAUCAGCUUGUUGGUGGGGUAGUGGCUUACCAAGGCUUCGACGGGUGGGCGGCCUGGGAGGGUGACCGGCCACAUUAGUACUGAGAUACGGCCCAGACUCGAACGGUAGGCAGCGGGGGAGAAUAUGAUACAAUGGUCGGGCGUCUGUGGCGACAGUGCCGCGUUCGGAAUGACGGCCAUGGGGUUGGAAACCGCAGUCGGCUGAGACGAAGCGUUAGUGACGGUAAUGGGUGAAGAAGCACCGGCUAACUACGUG
rnacentral:rRNA from 1 species